UCCAUCGGGAAUGCCGUCAGUGCCCUAUCCCACCGCAUCUCCUUCCCAAAUUUGGGAAAGAUCCUGGGAGCCUCCUCUCCCCCUUGGGGAGCAUCUUAAUGAAGCUCCUGCGGAAGAUGAUCCCAACAGAGCUCCCAUUCCACCUCACCCUCCUCAACGUCUGCUUCUCCAACCUCCAGGAGCUUCCCACCAGGAAGGGUUCCAUUGGCUUCUACCUCAAGGGCAAGGGCCCAGCACCUGCUUCUGGCCAAGGAGGGAGUGGGAAGGAAGCUGCAGAUUCCCAAGGGAAGGGGAGCGCCUCUUGCAGCGGA